rfam:Triticum aestivum genome assembly, contig: Triticum_aestivum_CS42_TGACv1_scaffold_543535_6DS
UUAAUAAUCCCUCUGUCCGAAAUUACUUGUCGCAAAAAUGGAUGUAUCUAGACGUAUUUUUAGUUCUAGAUAAAUCCAAUUUUAUCCAUUUCUGCGACAAGUAAUUCGGGACUGAGGGAGUACUAG